UACGUAGGGUGCGAGCGUUGUCCGGAAUUAUUGGGCGUAAAGGGCUCGUAGGCGGUUUGUCGCGUCGGGAGUGAAAACCAGGUGCUUAACACCUGGCUUGCUUUCGAUACGGGCAGACUAGAGGUAUUCAGGGGAGAACGGAAUUCCUGGUGUAGCGGUGAAAUGCGCAGAUAUCAGGAGGAACACCGGUGGCGAAGGCGGUUCUCUGGGCAUGAUCUGACGCUGAGGAGCGAAAGUGUGGGGAGCGAACAGG
rnacentral:rRNA from 1 species